UUAAAUCCUUUGACGAGGAAGAGUAACUAUGUAGUUAAGUGACAGAGAGUUGGAAAAGGUGGAAUCCCAAUACUGAGUAUGUAGUGAAUGGACCUAAGAGGAGUAAAUUGAAAUCUACUCAAGGUAGAAAGUAGUGGUUAACGUCAGCCGUACGUUAUAACGGAUAGGAUAUGUUUGUAUCUGAAAGAGAGGUGUUUUUAAAUAAACACAAUUUAGGUGGUACCGCGGAUAUCUCCGUCCUAGUU
rnacentral:ncRNA from 1 species